rnacentral:rRNA from 1 species
AUUGAACGCUGGCGGCAGGCCUAACACAUGCAAGUCGAGCGGAGCGGCGGACGGGUGAGUAAUGCCUAGGAAUCUGCCUGGUAGUGGGGGAUAACGUCCGGAAACGGGCGCUAAUACCGCAUACUAUCAGAUGAGCCUAUGUCGGAUUAGUUAGUUGGUGGGGUAAAGGCCUACCAAGGCGACGAUCCGUAACUGGGCUGAGAGGAUUAUCAGUCACACUUGAGCUACGACACGGUCCGGGCUCCUGCGCGGAGCGGCAGUGGGAAAUAUUGGACAAUGGGCGAGAGCAUGAUCCAGCCAUGCCGAGUGUGUGAAGAAGGUCUUCGGAUUGUAAAGCACUUUAAGUUGGGAGGCGUUACCAACAGAAUAAGCACCGGCUAACUUCGUGCCAGCAGCCGCGGUAAUAC